CCACUUAAAGAAAUAUAUAUCUAUAUGUGUCGGAUUUUCGUGGGGGAGUCGAAACUAAACUUAAAUUAACAAAUACUAAAAUGCAAAUAUACUUUCUUUACGAGGACUAAAAUGCAAAUAUACCUUCUUUAUUUUUCUCUGUUUACAGCUCCCAAGUUCCUUCGCACGCGCUCUAUAAAUAAUCAAGCAAGCAAAGGGAAGCUAAGGCAAGGGGCAUUUGUUUGAGUGAGGACUUUUAUCAAACAAAUGGCGGGCAUUAUUAGAAUGGGGCGUUGGGGGUUGGUGAUGGCAGUGGUGGCAAUAAUAAUGGCGAUGGCAGUGGGGGAAGUGGCGGCGCUGACGGCGGCAGAGUGUCAAGCGGAGAGAGAUAUGGCGGUGAAUGCGUGCAAAUCGGUGUUGUUCGGGAGAAAUCCGUCGCCGGCGUGCUGCCAGAGGGCGAGAGUAAGCCAUACAGAGUGUAUUUGCCCCGCGGUGACGCCUAAACUAAUGACAUACGUGGAUCCUAUUCGCGCCAUUCGACUCAUUGAAAGCUGCGGCCGUAAAGUUCCUCGCCAUUUCAAAUGUGGAAGUUUUACCACUCCAUGAAAGUUAUGGUGAAAUUAUCCAAUCAAACCUCAAGAUAAAAAUGAUAGAACGGAAUUAAGUGAUGUGUGUCUUUUCUUUCUUAAUUUUUCUCCAAUGUUUAAUAUUAAUUAAUAUCCACUACUUUAGCUUAAAAGAUAAUAAUAAAUAAAGUUAGUUAAGCUUAAUGUAUGUUUUUUUUCCCUAUGAUUGAAGAUUUGAGAUUGAAAUAAAAUAACUAUGUAUUGUGGUUAUUUAUUUA